rnacentral:lncRNA from 1 species
AUGUGUUCAGCCUGUUCAGGGUUGUGUAAGUAUUCAGACUGUUCAGGGUUGUGGAUGUAUUCAGACUGUUCAGGGUUGUGUAUGUAUUCAGACUGUUCAGGGUUGUGGAUGUAUUCAGACUGUUCAGGGUUGUGGAUGUGUUUGGAAUGUUCAGGGUUGUGGAUGUAUUCAUACUGUUCAGGGUUGUGGAAGUGGUUAGGACUGUUCCGGGUUGUGGAUGUGUUCAGACUGUUCAGGGUUGUGGAUGUGUUCAGACUGUUCAGGGUUGUGGAUGUGUUCAGAAUGUUCAGGGUUGUGGAUGUGUUCAGGGUUGUGGAUGGGUUCAGACUGUUUCAGGGUUGUGAAUGUGUGCAGGGUGUGGAUGUGUUCAUAAUGUUAGGGUUGUGGAUGUGUUCAGACUGUUCAGGGUUGUGGAUGUAUUCAGAAGUUCAGGGUUGUGGAUGUGUUCAGACUGUUCAGGGUUGUGGAUGUGUUCAGACUGUUCAGGGUUGUGUAUGUGUUCAGACUGUUCAGGGUUGUGGAUGUAUUCAGAAUGUUCAGGGUUGUGGAUGUGUUCAGAAUGUUCUGGGUUGUGGAUGUUUCAGACUGUUCUGUGUUGUGAGAUGUAUUCAGGGUUGUGGAUGUGUUCAGGGUUGUGGAUGUGUUCAGACUGUUCAGGGUUGUGGAUGUGUUCAGACUGUUCAGGGUUGUGGAUGUGUUCAGACUGUUCAGGGUUGUGGAUGUAUUCACUGUCAGGGUUGUGGAUGUGUUUCAGAUGUUCAGGGUUUUGGAUUUUCAGACUGUUCAGGGUUGUGAAUAUGUCCAGACUGUUCAGGGUUGUGUAUGUAGUCAGACGUUCAGGGCUGUGUAUGUAGUUCAGACUGUUCAGGGUUGUGGAUGUGUUCAGACUGUUUUGGGUUGUGGAGUGUACGGGUUCAG